rnacentral:rRNA from 1 species
UACGUAGGGACCGAGCGUUGUUCGGAUUUACUGGGCGUAAAGGGCGCGUAGGCGGCGCGGUAAGUCACUUGUGAAAUCUCUGAGCUUAACUCAGAACGGCCAAGUGAUACUGCAGUGCUAGAGUGUGGAAGGGGCAAUCGGAAUUCUUGGUGUAGCGGUGAAAUGCGUAGAUAUCAAGAGGAACACCUGAGGCGAAGGCGGGUUGCUAGGCUGACACUGACGCUGAGGCGCGAAAGCUAGGGUAGCAAACGGG